GCUUCUGAGACUUGUUUGGGGAGGUAAAGAGUGUUGGACGUGCUUCUCCUGAGAUGGAGUCCUGGGACUACAGGCGCGCGCCCCAAUGCCCAGCUAACUUUUGUAUUUUUAAUAGAGACGGGGUUUCUCCGUGUUGGUCAGGCUGGUCUCGAACUCCUGACCUCAGGUGAUCUGCCCCCCUUUGCCUCCCAAAGUACUGGGAUUACAGGCGUGAGCCACCGCGCCCGGCAUGUAUUACAAAUUCUAAGAACACGAAGAUAAUGGGGCCGGCUUGGUGGCGCGAACCUGUAGCCUCACCUACUGUCAAGACUGAGACAGGAGGAUCUCUUGAGCCCAGGAGGUCGAGGCUGCAGUGAGUCAUGAUCGCACCACUGCACUCCAGCUUGGGAGACAGAAUAUACCCUGUCUAAAAAAUAAUAAUAAAAAAAAAGGUUAAAAUUUGGAGGAUAACUCCCAGCUAGAAAGGAAGAAAAGCUCUAAAGUGGAAUCGCCUUCCCCCGGAAGCUGUUGUAAAAAUUAAAGGAUGUAUGUGAGUGCACAGGCUCUCCAGCGAUCGUUUUUCUUCCACAGUGUUAACACAAUUUAUUUAUUUAUUUACUUUUUGAGAUGAAGUCUCACUCUGUUGCCCAGGCUGGAUGGAGUGCAGUGGUGUGAUCUGGGCUCACUGCAACCUCCGCCUCCUGAGUUCAAGCGAUUCUCCUGCCUCAGCCUCCUGGGUAGCUGGGACUAAAGGCUCCCACCACCAUUCCCCGCUAGUUUUUGUAUUUUUAGUAGAAAUAGGGUUUCACCAUGUUGGCCAGGCUGGUCUUGAACUCCUGACCUCAAGUGAUCCUCUCGCCUCAGCCUCCUAAAGUGCUGGGAUUACAGGCGUGAGCCACCGCGCCUGGCCUGUUUCCACAAUUAAAAAAGGCCCAUCACCCUAUCAUGAUCAUCUCUAUUACAGUCUGGACAAUAUGAGCUUUCUGGGAGAGCCAGCUUCAUUUCAUAACUGAAGAAAUGGGCUUAGGUGAACUUAGUCAUUUGCCUGAGACCGCAUAGCCUGUAGAUAACCAAGAUACCAGCUCACAUUUGUUCCAACUCAUUCCAGCUUUAAAUUCUUUCAUUCUUUUCACAGUAUGAUGCAUUGACUGUGCUAGAAUGUGUUCUUGGUGUUGGUGAGUUAAUAGUGAAAAAAACAAGUUUCUGCCUUAGUGGAGAUUCUGUUGUCAUAGGAUUUUCCCAGGCUGGCACUUUAGAAAUUUAUAUCCAGGCUGAUGAUAGCUGUUCCAAAGUUUGAAUCAGGAGAAGCAACUUUGGGGAAGUGAGUCUUUAAAAAAAGGUAACUUAAAUUCAAGAAGAGGAAGAGGGUGAGCUUCUAAGUAAGAAUUUGGAAAAAUACGGAUGAAGGUACAGACAAGUGUGAGGAAGGGUGUCCAGUGAAAUAGGAAGGAAUGGAGCAAUGUGCCCAGAUUAAUAGAAGCCUCAAAACUAGGUAGAAGAGUGGAGUUACUUCAGUAAAAAUAGCCAUUGUUAAUUCCUGCUCCUCUGUGUUUCUGGCCUCAGUGGAUGGCAUUACCAAUCUACCAAGGCAUAAGCCUGUGAGUUAUUCCUUUAACAAAUCACUCAGUGCCUACUGUUUGCAGGCACUGUGCUAGGUACUGAGGAUUUGGUGAUUAGCAAAAUAGACAUUGUCCUUGCCCUUGUGGUCCUCUGCAGCGGGAGUCAGAUGUUAAAGAAAUAAACAAAUACCAUAUGUGAAUUAUAAUAAGUUCAAGUGUGCUGAAGGAAAAGAACAGGGUGCUUUAAGAGAGAAACAGGGAAUGUAGUUUAGCUGGUGUGGGUGGUCCACAAAGAGCAUGCAGGCUGGGCGUGGUGGCUCACUCCUGUAAUCCCAGCAAUUUGGGAGGCCAAGGUGGGUGGAUCAUCUGAGGUCAGGAGUUCGAGACCAGCCUGGCCAACAUGGCAAAACCCUGUCUCUACUAAAAAUGCAAAAAUUAGCCAGGCGUGGUGGCGCAUGCCUGUUAUUCCCAGCUACUCAGGAGGCUGACGCAGGAAAAUCACCUGGGCCCAGGAGAGCCUGGGAAGCGGAGGCUGCAGUGAGCUAAGAUUGCGCCACUGCACUUCAGCCUGGGCGACAGAGCAAGACUCCACUCCAUCUCAAAAAAAAAAAAAAAAAGAAGAGUUGCCCUUGUGAAGGGGGGCUGAAAGAAGUGUCCAAUAAUGUAUGAGAAAGCACCUAGCACUGUACCUAGCACAUAAUAUCCAAUAAAUGUUAACUUCCUUCCUUAACAGGAAAAUCAUUUUCUCACCACUCUCUACCCCUCAGCCUUCAUGUCAUUGAUUCAGAUUUUGAUGAAAGUGGAGUUAGGUUGAAAAAGACUGGUUCUCAUUGUAGAUAAUAGUAAUCCUUUCACUGAUUUAUAUAUCAUCACUAAAUUAUAUCAUCACUGUAAACACAGAUGCCAGAAAAAAGUCUGCCUACUAACAGUUUUAUAAACCAAGUGUGUUAGUAAAAUUUAGUUUCUAGUGAACUAGGGUAACAAAAAAGGCAAAGAUGAGCUCAUGAAGAACACCAGUCUAACCAGAAAAUGUUAUGUAUUAGCAUCUAUAAAUGAUAAACUACAAACAUUGACAAAUUAUUCAACUUUGGGCUGGGGAUGGUAGCUCAUGCCUGUAAUCCUAAAGCUUUGGGAGGCCAAGGCAUGAGUCACCAGGGCAGGAGUUUGAGACCAGCCUGGGCAACAUGGCAAGACUCCACUUCUACAAAAAUUAAAAGAAAAAAAUUAGCUGAGUGUGUGGCACAUGCCUGUGAUCCCAGCUAGUUGAGAGGCUGAGGUGGGUAGAGAACUUGAGCCCACGAGUUCAAGGCUGCAGUGAGCUAUGUAUGAUUGUGUCACUGCUCACCAGACAGGCAACAGAACCAGACUGUAUCUCUAAAAAAAAAAUUAUUCAAUGUUGCUGGAUUUAACCCAGUAAUAUAUAGUAUAAUUGUUCUCAAAGUGUGAUCCUUAGACCACCAGCAUCAGCAUCACUUGGAACUUGUUAGAAAUGUAUUCUCACCACCACCCCAGACCUGCUGAAUCUGACACUGAGGGUGGGACCUACAAGCGCUCCAGGGGAUUCUGGUGCAUACUGAAAUUUAAGAACCACUGGUAUAGUAUAUGCUGCAGUGCACAGUCCAGAGCCCACGUAUUCCUUAUAAAACUGGAGCACUUGGCCAGGUGUGGUAGCUCAUCCCUGUAAUCUCAGAACUUUGGGAGGCUGAGGUGGGCAGAUCACCUGAGGUCAGGAGUUCCAGACCAGCUUGGCCAACAUGGUGAAACCCCAUCUCUACUAAAACAAAAAUUAGCUGGGUGUAGUGGCAUGCGCUUGUAGUCCCAGCUACUCUGGGAGGCUGAGGCAGGAGAAUCACUUGAACCCAGGAGGUGGAAGUUGCAAUGAGCCGAGAUGACGCCACUGCACUCCAGCCUGGGCAACAGAGCAAGACUCUGUCUCAAAAAAACAAAAACAAAAAAACUGGAGCACUUAUUUAGCUCCUGGAAGUGUUGACUGAUCAUUACUCAGGGAUCUCUACCCAGGAAUUGGACUUGGCCAAAGGAAGCUGUAUCGCCCAAGUUUACACUCCUUUUUAGGGGGCCUACCUCCAGUGACUGGUGGAUGUAGGAUAUAGUGCCUAGCUCUUUUGCCUUAAUUUGAGACAAUUCUGAAGGGCCAUUCCAGCUCCAGAGUUUCUUGUGUGAUUAGUUUUGACUUGAUCUAACUGCAUUGAAGUUCAACUUCUGCGUAAUCCUACUUCCUCUAUUUUCUCCUAGUAAUGUCCCCAAGAGCAUUCCAUACUAUUACCUCUUGAAAGCAAAUCCCAUUUGUUUCCUGGGAAACCUGAACUAAGACAAUGACUUUUCUCUGCAAAAAUGUAGUCAAUUUUUGAGUAGGCAAGAUAUUCACACGUACAAAAUUUCAAAAUGUACAAAGGGUAUACAGUGAAAAGACUCCCCUGGUGCAGUGGCUCAUGCCUGUAAUCUCAGCACUUUAGAGGUUAAGGCAGGAGGAUCGCUUGAGCCCAGGAGUUCGAGACCAGUGUGGGUGACAUAGUGAGACCCACAUCUCUGUGAAAAAUAAAAAAAAUAAGCCGGGCGCGGUGGCUCACGCCU
rnacentral:lncRNA from 10 species